rnacentral:rRNA from 1 species
UGGGGAAUAUUGCACAAUGGAGGGAACUCUGAUGCAGCGACGCCGCGUGAGUGAUGAAGGAAUUCGUUUCGUAAAACUCUGUUCUAUGGGAAGAAAAGGACUGUACCAUAGGAGAAAGCACCGGCUAAAUACGUGCCAGCAGCCGCGGUAAUACGUAUGGAGCGAGCGUUGUCCGGAAUUAUUGGGCGUAAAGGGUGCGCAGGCGGCUUUACAAGUUGGAUGUGAAAUAUUGUGGCUCAACCACAAACGUGCAUCCAAAACUGCAAAGCUUGAGUUAAGGAGAGGUAAGUGGAAUUCCUGGUGUAGCGGUGGAAUGCGUAGAUAUCAGGAGGAAUACCGGUAGCGAAGGCGACUUACUGGACUUAAACUGACGCUCAGGCACGAAAGCGUGGGGAGCAAACAGG